GAUUAUUGAGGGUAGAACAGGCAGCUACCGCACCCUUUGGGUAUAAAGAGAUGUGGGACACGCCGCCCCACCAGUAUUC
ncrna:unclassified sequences skipping-rope RNA